UACGGAGGGUGCAAGCGUUGUUCGGAUUUACUGGGCGUAAAGGGCGCGUAGGCGGCCACCGCAAGUCGAUUGUGAAAUCUCCGGGCUUAACCCGGAAAGGUCAACCGAUACUGCGGGGCUAGAGUGCAGAAGGGGCAACUGGAAUUCUCGGUGUAGCGGUGAAAUGCGUAGAUAUCGAGAGGAACACCUGCGGCGAAGGCGGGUUGCUGGGCUGACACUGACGCUGAAGUGCGAAAGCUAGGGGAGCGAACGGG
rnacentral:rRNA from 1 species